UGGCUCAGCGGUAGAGUGCUUGCCUUGCAUGCAUGAGGCCCUGGGUUCAAUUCCUCAG
rnacentral:tRNA from 1 species